rnacentral:rRNA from 1 species
GUGAGGAAUUUUCCGCAAUGGGCGAAAGCCUGACGGAGCAAUGCCGCGUGAAGGAUGAAGGCCUAUGGGUUGUAAACUUCUUUUCUCAGAAAAGAAUUAUGACGGUAUCUGAGGAAUAAGCAUCGGCUAACUCUGUGCCAGCAGCCGCGGUAAGACAGAGGAUGCAAGCGUUAUCCGGAAUGAUUGGGCGUAAAGCGUCUGUAGGUUGUUUAAAAAGUAUUCUGUCAAAGAUUAGGGCUUAACCCUAGAUAGGCAGAAUAAACUUUUAAGCUAGAGGUUGGUAGAGGCAGAGGGAAUUCCCGGUGGAGCGGUGAAAUGCGUAAAUAUCGGGAGGAACACCAAAGGCGAAGGCACUCUGCUGGGCCAAUACUAACACUGAGAGACGAAAGCGAGGGGAGCAAAUGGGAUUAGAAACCCCUGUAGUCC